GCCGGGGUUUCUUUACCAGAUACUGUCAUUAUCAUCUCUGGCGAAAGUGCUUUACGACCCUAAGGCCUUCAUCACACACGCGGCAUGGCUAGAUCAGGCUUGCGCCCAUUGUCUAAGAUUCCCC
rnacentral:rRNA from 1 species